UACGAAGGGGGCUAGCGUUGUUCGGAAUUACUGGGCGUAAAGCGCACGUAGGCGGAUAUUUAAGUCAGGGGUGAAAUCCCAGAGCUCAACUCUGGAACUGCCUUUGAUACUGGGUAUCUCGAGUAUGGAAGAGGUGAGUGGAACUGCGAGUGUAGAGGUGAAAUUCGUAGAUAUUCGCAAGAACACCGGUGGCGAAGGCGGCAUCCUGGACCGGUAUGACGCUGAUGCGCGAAAGCCAGGGGAGCAAACGGG
rnacentral:rRNA from 1 species